rnacentral:misc_RNA from 1 species
UGGUUCUGGCAUCGAUGAAGAACGCAGCGAAAUGCGAUAAGUAAUGCGAAUUGCAGAAUUCAGUGAGUCAUCGAAUUUUUGAACGCACAUUGCGCCCUUUGGUAUGCCGAAGGGCAUGCCUGUUCGAGCGUCAUUGCUAAACUAUCAAGCCUGGCUUGCUGUUGGACCCCUUUUGUCACUAGGUGACAAGGUCCCAAAGAAAAUGACUGGGAGUCGGAGAGCCACUAUACGCAACGAGCUUGUAAAAUGGCACGCAUCUGGUGGGCCGUCCGGCCCCCGCCAUCGCCCCUUUAUUUCUCAAGGUUGACCUCGGAUCAGGUAGGGAUACCCGCUGA